rnacentral:rRNA from 1 species
GACGAACGCUGGCGGCGUGCUUAACACAUGCAAGUCGAGCGGUAAGGCCCUUUCGGGGUACACGAGCGGCGAACGGGUGAGUAACACGUGGGUGACCUGCCCUCAGCUCUGGGAUAAGCCCGGGAAACUGGGUCUAAUACUGGAUAUGACUCCAUGACGCAUGUUGUGGGGUGGAAAGCCUUGUGCGGCUGAGGAUGGGCCCGCGGCCUAUCAGCUUGGUUGGUGGGGGAUGGCCUACCAAGGCGACGACGGGUAGCCGGCCUGAGAGGGCGACCGGCCACACUGGGACUGAGACACGGCCCAGACUCCUACGGGAGGCAGCAGUGGGGAAUCUUGCGCAAUGGGCGAAAGCCUGACGCAGCGACGCCGCGUGAGGGA